CAGCAGCCGCGGGAAUACAGAGGGUGCGAGCGUUAAUCGGAUUUACUGGGCGUAAAGCGUGCGUAGGCGGCUUUUUAAGUCGGAUGUGAAAUCCCUGAGCUUAACUUAGGAAUUGCAUUCGAUACUGGGAAGCUAGAGUAUGGGAGAGGAUGGUAGAAUUCCAGGUGUAGCAGUGAAAUGCGUAGAGAUCGGAAGGAACAUCUGUGGCGAAGGCGACUAUCUGGGCCAACACUGACACUGAGGCACGAAAGCGUGGGGAGCAAACAGGAUUAGAGACCCCCGUAGUCCCUGUCUCUUAUAC
rnacentral:rRNA from 1 species